rnacentral:rRNA from 1 species
UGGGGAAUAUUGCACAAUGGGCGAAAGCCUGAUGCAGCGACGCCGCGUGAGGGAAGAAGGUUUUCGGAUUGUAAACCUCUGUCUUCGGGGACGAUAAUGACGGUACCCGAGGAGGAAGCCACGGCUAACUACGUGCCAGCAGCCGCGGUAAAACGUAGGUGGCAAGCGUUGUCCGGAAUUACUGGGUGUAAAGGGAGCGCAGGCGGAAUGGCAAGUUGAAUGUGAAAACUGGGGGCUCAACCCCCAGACUGCGUUCAAAACUGCUGUUCUUGAGUGAUGUAGAGGUAGGCGGAAUUCCCGGUGUAGCGGUGGAAUGCGUAGAUAUCGGGAGGAACACCAGUGGCGAAGGCGGCCUACUGGGCAUCAACUGACGCUGAGGCUCGAAAGUAUGGGGAGCAAACA